rnacentral:rRNA from 1 species
GCGCGAAAACUUUGCAAUGCGGGAAACCGUGACAAGGGAACUCUGAGUGCCCGUAAAAUCGGGCUGUCCAUCAGUUUAAAAAACUGGUGAAGAAAGGGCCGGGCAAGACCGGUGCCAGCCGCCGCGGUAAUACCGGCGGCUCGAGUGGUGGCCACUAUUACUGGGCUUAAAGCGUUCGUAGCUGGUUUGUUAAGUCUCUGGGGAAAUCUUCCGGCUCAACCGGAAGGCGUCUCAGGGAUACUGGCAGACUAGGGACCGGAAGAGGUGAGAGGUACUCCAGGGGUAGGAGUGAAAUCCUGUAAUCCUUGGGGGACCACCUGUGGCGAAGGCGUCUCACCAGGACGGCUCCGACAGUGAGGGACGAAAGCUGGGGGAGCAAACCGGAUUAGAUACCCGGGUAGUCCCAGCCGUAAACGAUGUGCGUUAGGUGUAUCGGUGACCACGAGUCACCGAGGUGCCGAAGAGAAAUCGUGAAACGUACCGCCUGGGAAGUACGGUCGCAAGGCUAAGUAAACGUAAGUAGUGGGGACGGGACACCGACCAACAACGUAGGUAGGACGUCCGUGGUUACGUUUACGACCGUACG